CCUACGGGUGGCAGCAGUGAGGAAUAUUGGUCAAUGGCCGAAAGGCUGAACCAGCCAAGUCGCGUGAGGGAUGACGGCCCUAUGGAUUGUAAACCUCUUUUGUCAGGGAGCAAAGGGCGCCACGUGUGGCGUUUUGCGAGUACCCGGAGAAAAAGCAACGGCUAACACCGGGCAAGCAGCCGCGGUAAUACGGAGGAUGCGAGCGUUAUCCGGAUUUAUUGGGUUUAAAGGGUGCGCAGGCGGAAUGUCAAGUCAGCGGUAAAAUUUCGGGGCUCAACCCCGUCGUGCCGUUGAAACUGGCGUUCUUGAGUGGGCGAGAAGUAUGCGGAAUGCGUGGUGUAGCGGUGAAAUGCAUAGAUAUCACGCAGAACUCCGAUUGCGAAGGCAGCAUACCGGCGCUCAACUGACGCUGAUGCACGAAAGCGUGGGUAUCGAACAGGAUUAGAUACCCGUGUAGUC
rnacentral:rRNA from 1 species